CCUACGGGUGGCAGCAGUGGGGAAUAUUGGGCAAUGGGCGCAAGCCUGACCCAGCAAAGCCGCGUGAAGGAAGAAGGCUUUCGGGUUGUAAACUUCUUUUCUCAGGGACGAAGCCAGUGACGGUACCUGAGGAAUAAGCCACGGCUAACUACGUGCCAGCAGCCGCGGUAAUACGUAGGUGGCAAGCGUUAUCCGGAUUUACUGGUUUUAAAGGGCGUGUAGGUGGGAAUGCAAGUCAGAUGUGAAAACCACGGGCUCAACCUGUGGACUGCAUUUGAAACUGGAGUUCUUGAGUACUGGAGAGGCAGACGGAAUUCCUAGUGUAGCGGUGAAAUGCGUAGAUAUUAGGAGGAACACCAGUGGCGAAGGCGGUUUGCUGGACAGCAACUGACGCUGAGGCGCGAAAGUGUGGGGAGCAAACAGGAUUAGAUACCCUGGUAGUC
rnacentral:rRNA from 1 species